UACGAGGGGGCAAAUGUUGUUCGGAAUUACUGGGCGUAAAGCGCGCGCAGGCGGUCUUCCAAGUCAGUGGUGAAAGCCCGGAGCUCAACUCCGGAACUGCCAUUGAAACUGUAAGACUUGAGGAUGAGAGAGGUGAGUGGAAUUCCCAGUGUAGAGGUGAAAUUCGUAGAUAUUGGGAAGAACACCGGUGGCGAAGGCGGCUCACUGGCUCAUAUCUGACGCUCAGGCGCGACAGCGUGGGGAUCAAACAGGG
rnacentral:rRNA from 1 species